CCUAAAAGAUUAGCCUGAUAAAUUCAAGUUCUAUACUUACUCAGAAUUCCAAACACUUCAUGAGUUUGUUAUUAUUAUUAUUAUUUUUUCACGGGAUGUUCAUCAUUUAAAUUAUUGGGGAUCAAACACUCCACUAGUUGCCACCUAAGACAUCAGAGGACAAUAAUCAACGCCCCAGAACCCAUAAAUUAUCAUUUGAAGACCAGCUACUCAUGGUAUUGAUGAGACUAAGAGUUGGGCUGCUUGAAGAAGACUUAUCUUAUCGUUUGGCAUUCAUCAUACAACUGUAUCAAGGAUUUGCAGAACAUUGUAUGAUCUCAUGGCAACUCGAUUCUGACAAGUUCCCCUGAAACAUAUUCCUCAUACAAGAAUCACAACACUGCCAAAGAUAGGCAUUGCAGCAAAUGACUUCAUAACCUUUGUUUCGGAUUUGGUCCCUGGACGAAUGUCUGAUAAGGAAAUCACCAUCAAUAGUGGGCUGAUCGAUCACCUGAACGAAGGCAACUCAGUAAUGGCUGACAGAGGCUUUCUAAUAGAUGUACCUUGCCAAGAAAUAUUCCCACUUUAAUAUCCCACCAUUUAUGACAGCAAAACAACUAUCCCCUUCACAAGAGAUGGAGACCAGGAGAAAAGCAAGGGUAAGGAUUCAUGUGGAGCGUGCCAUUGAACAAAUAAAGAACUUUAGAGUCUUUUCCCAAUGCAAUGGCUAAUGACCAUAAAAUUUGGGUUAUUUGUUGUAAUUAUUUAGUUAAUUUUACCACUAGCAUUAGAUA